AGACUCCGAGAUGUUGGCAAGAGAAGUAAAGGGAUUGGAGGAGCUUUAUAGACACAUUUUGCUUAGGCUAGAAGGCUAAAAGCAUGCCUUGUUCAGUAUUCACUAGCUUUUACCUUCCAAUCCAAUCUUAACACUUUUUACCUACUCUUCUUUUAUAUUCGCUACCAUUCAAAGCUAUAGAAAAGCUGUUUUUAGAUCACAGUUUUACUCUGUAAAAUGAUAGUUCAUAUUCAG
rnacentral:misc_RNA from 1 species